GACAACAGAAGCCACAGAAAUCCUCCUCAUCAAAAACAUGACUUUGAUCUCCGUCCUCAUCUGGACUCUCCUCUGCUGCUGCUUCACAGAGUCCAGAGGCCAGGUCACAGUGACUCAGUCUGCAUCAGUGACAUCUGAACUGGGACGAUCUGCAACCAUCAGCUGUAAGACCAGUCAGAAUGUUUAUACUGGCUAUUGGUCUUCUAGACACCACCACUAUUUAGCCUGGUACCAACACAGAGCUGGAGAAGCUCCUAAACGUCUCAUUUAUCUUGCUGCCACUCGAGCAUCAGGGAUUCCAGGUCGUUUUUCAGGGCGUGGAUCAAACUCUGACUUCACUCUGACCAUCAGUGGAGUUCAGGCUGAAGAUGCAGCAGUUUAUUACUGUCAGAGUCUCCACUAUCCUAACAGUCAGUGGGUGUUCACACAGUGA